rfam:Ictidomys tridecemlineatus contig079903, whole genome shotgun sequence.
GGGGUUGUGGCUUAGUGGUAGAGCGCUCACCUAGAAUGUGUGAGGCACUGGAUUGGAUCCUGAGCACCCCA